rnacentral:rRNA from 1 species
AGAGUUUGAUCCUGGCUCAGAAUCAACGCUGGCGGCGCGCUUAACACAUGCAAGUCGCACGAGAAAGUGGAGCAAUCCAUGAGUACAGUGGCGUACGGGUGAGUAACACGUGGAUCAUCUGCCUCUUGGUGGGGAAUAACCCUGGGAAACCGGGGCUAAUACCGCAUAAGCCUGCAAAGGGAAAGCAGCAAUGCGCCGAGAGAGGAGUCCGCGGCCGAUUAGCUUGUUGGUAGGGUAAUGGCCUACCAAGGCAAUGAUCGGUAGCCGGCCUGAGAGGGCACACGGCCACACUGGCACUGAAACACGGGCCAGACUCCUACGGGAGGCAGCAGUGGGGAAUCUUGCGCAAUGGGGGAAACCCUGAUGCAGCGACGCCGCGUGAGCGAUGAAGCCCUUCGGGGUGUAAAGCUCUUUCGGCAGGAACGAUAAUGACGGUACCUGCAGAAGAAGCUGCGGCUAACUACGUGCCAGCAGCCGCGGUAAUACGUAGGCAGCAAGCGUUGUUCGGAAUUACUGGGCGUAAAGAGUGUGUAGGCGGUUCUCUAAGUUCCGUGUGAAAUCUCCCGGCUUAACUGGGAGGGUGCGCGGAAAACUGGAGGGCUGGAGUAUGGGAGAGGAAAGCGGAAUUCCUGGUGUAGCGGUGAAAUGCGUAGAUAUCAGGAGGAACACCUGCGGUGUAGACAGCUUUCUGGACCAUCACUGACGCUGAGACACGAAAGCGUGGGUAGCAAACAGGAUUAGAUACCCCUGUAGUCC